GCUCGGCCGCCAGCAUGGUCCCCAUGGAGCUGCCGCAUUGGUGCCGGCGCCGCUAGAAGCCUCCUGGAUGAGGGCUGCCGAAACCGACCGCUGGGCGUGGCUGCUGGUGCUCAGCUUCGUGUUUGGGUGCAAUGUCCUUAGAAUCCUCCUCCCGUCCUUCUCCUUCAUGUCCAGGGUGCUGCAGAAGGACGCAGAGCAGGAGUCACAGAUGAGAGCCGAGAUCCAGGACAUGAAGCAGGAGCUCUCCACGGUUAACAUGAUGGGCGACUUUGCCAGAUACGCCAGGCUGGAGAGGAAAAUCAACAAGAUGACAGAUAAGCUCCAAACCCAUGUGAAAGCACAGACAGCUCAGCUAGCCAAGAUAAAAUGGGUUAUAAGUGUUGCCUUCUACAUAUUGCAAGCUGCCCUGAUGAUCUCCCUCAUUUGGAAGUAUUAUUCUGUCCCUGUGGCUGUUGUGCAGAGUAAGUGGAUAACCCCACUAGACUGCCUGGUGGCCUUUCUGACUAGAGUAGCAGGUGGUGUUGGAAUUACCUGUUGGAUUUUGGUCUGCAACAAAUCUGUGGCUAUUGUGCUUCAUCCUUUCAGCUGAAAAGGAAGAUAAAUACAGCUAUGAGACUUUUAAAAAUGGAGUUUCUCUUAUUAGGUUACAAAUAUGAUUUAUACUCUUGUUUUUUAAGAAACAAAAGUGCACAGGUUCGACUUUUUUGUUGACUAUAUUUGUUCUUGGACUUUAUGUGAGAUUCUUAUAAGAAUCACGAUUUUCUACACUUAUCGAGCCAGAAAGGCCAGUUUAUGACACACAUGUACAACCAACAUCAUCC